CAAGAAGUCAGCCAAGCCUACACCUUGAUUUCAGCCUCAAGAACCCAGCACACUCUUCCAGAUUGCUGACAUAUAGAAUGCACUGCACUACCGUGGAUAAUCCCUGUGCGAGUCCAUCAUCCAACUGGAGCUUAUGACUGACCAGACCAACGUAAUACUGCAGAAGUGAUACUACGUGACUUCCAUGGUCGUGUCAUUAAAAGGAUACAGAUGCCAUCUGGCUCUCCAGAUGCUUGCAUUUUGGAAUCCAGCCACAAUGUUGUAAGAAAUACAGGCCACAUGGAGCCACGACAUGAGGCUAUUACAACCAACAGCCC
rnacentral:lncRNA from 1 species